rnacentral:rRNA from 1 species
UACGUAGGGGGCGAGCGUUGUCCGGAUUUAUUGGGCGUAAAGAGCUCGUAGGCGGCUUGGCAAGUCGGGUGUGAAAACUCCAGGCUCAACCUGGAGACGCCACUCGAGACUGCUAUGGCUAGAGUCCGGUAGGGGACCACGGAAUUCCUGGUGUAGCGGUGAAAUGCGCAGAUAUCAGGAGGAACACCGGUGGCGAAGGCGGCACUCUGGGCCGAUACUGACACUGAGGAGCGAAAGCGUGGGGAGCGAACAGGA